UUUCAUUGCCGUAACUUUUUAUUGCAAAUGACAAAUAAACCUUCUGACCUUGAACUUGAAAGGUGUUGUACAAAUAACAAAAAUUCACCAAUUAUUCAAUCAAGCCCUUGAUGACAACUUCUACUGUAAAAAAGGAUUAAUAAAACAAUCGUGACUGUUGUACAAAUGAAUAUAAUCUGCCACUGGAUUAUUUCCAAACAAAAUAUCAAAUCCAAUUACAAAUUUUCUAUGCCGAUGUUAAAAAGGAUCCAAACUACAUUGACAUUUUUACAUUUUAGUCAUUUAGCAGAUGCGACUUAAAGUACAGUAAUUUCAUACAUUUUAAAAGAGCUAGGUGAAACAACCACACAGUUUAGUGAGUGCAUGCAAAUCAAUAAAUCAGUUAUCAGCAGUCUCUGAAAAACUGCAGUCUGCCAUGUGAAAACUGAAUGACUGAUGGAGAGACAGUAGGUUGGCAGUUCUCCAGUCAUACAUACUUACUCACAUAUUGUAUUUUUUAUAAACUGAUGCAGUGCAGCCUGCCUCUUCCAGAGGCAAACACACACUGUGUUUACUUUUACCCGACCAGAGUCUUUGAGCUUGUAGCUAAGGACCCAGCUCAUCUGUAUCACCUGUGAUGGCAAUUUCUAAAGUCCAAACUAUUUACGAAAAUGGUAGGUAGGUAAACAGUUUUAUUCUUGCAAAGAGAGAAUACACAGGUUACAAAGUAACAAUGAAUAAUCUCUAAAUCAGUAUAGGAAAUGCAUCAGUAUAUAAGGAGGGGAAAAGGGGGUGUGGUAAGAUGCUGCCCCUCUGUCCCAUGUCAACCAAACACACACCCUUUGUUCUAUCACAUGUCCUGGGCUUGACACAAGGGACAUGGUGUCUUCCCUCAUGUGGUUAACUUUCUUAACCCUUAAGGGGGAAUUAAAGCAUCUGAGCAACCUGCUGAUAGGUAGAUGAUUAACCAUUAAGUUACUUGUGGCCAAUCAAGAAUGCCCCCUAGGACAAAACCCAGAUCCCCUCUCCCACACUCCUCUAUGCAUUUAAACAUUGGGACUCAGUCCUUCACUCAGAAUAUAUUUUAUCAGGUUACAGAAAUUUCCCUAACACCCCCCCCCCCCCAUGUUGUGUGGUCCAAUUAGACGGUCACACACACACAUCAGAUAGUCAAAUGUUCCCAAAAUGGUGUCUCUGGCCCAGUAAUCAGAUGGUCACUGGUUCCGAUCCCCGAUUUGACUUGGUUAAAAUAAAGAAAUCUGACGUUGUGACCUCGAACAAGGCACUGCUCCUUUAAGUCGAUCUAGAUGACAGCCUCUGUUAAAUUACUAAAACAUUUAUUUUAAAAGAUGGAUAGCCCGGCCUGUUCAAUACUUCUAACGUGGUGAACUUUAGACACCUGCUGUAUUGUGGCCACGUGGGUGUUCAUUUGUCUAAUAGCUGUCUAGGUCACUGGCCAGUUUGUUUCGACCCAUUUUCUUCAGAAUUAUCUUUGUGGUGUUCACGGCGCCGCCUUCGCAGUAUCUCUCCACCAUCUGAUCCACUGUGGUCAUUCUGUCUGCUUUCUCCAGCUCACAUUUCGGGAUUGGACUAAUGCCUGCCCCACCGCUUUUCAGGUACCACUGGAAUGUCUUCAAUUCCUCUGAAUCCAGUUUUGACAGAGUGUCCAGCAGCAGAAUUGGAACUGGUUUUUUUGUGCCU
ensembl:lncRNA